UCUCUCUCUCUCUCUCUCUCUCUCUCUCUCUCUCUCUCUCUCUCUCCGACUAUUGUGAGCAACUUUCUGCUGAGCGACAUUCGGCUUAUGGUUCACGCUCUUCCGAUAGCGAGCGUAUUAAAAGCGCGCUACUAAAAAUGGCGCUAAAACGACGUUCAACGAAAACUCUUACAACAGUUGGCAGCGCAGCGCGGCGCAAAUUGCUCACUGAGAGUUGCUCUUUCGGCUGAACGCAGACAAUGUCAGCGAGCGCGAAGAAGAGAAAGAGAAAGAGAGUAGUAGCAGCAGCGGCGGCGGUGGCGGCGGCGGCGGCAGCAACAGCAACAGCAAGCAUUCGGACAGAAAGAGAAGAGGGCGGCAAGGCGGAGAAAGAAAACGAGUUCACAUCGUGACGCGCCGCGCCGGUGGAGUUGGAUUUCACGCAGUUGGUAGUGGUGAGACGACGGUGGUGGGUCGUGUGCUCGUUGAUGCAAGUGGGGAGAAGAGGCAGAGGGGCUGGUGCGGGGGGACGGAAAGCUGGUGGUGGAUGUCGGGGUGGAUUUGUCAUACAACCCUACCUACCCUACCCCGGGUACGUUGGAUCAGGGCACCGCCGCCAGACGGCGGCACCGUUUCUGUCCAAGGAAGAGGGUUCCUCUGCCGUAUGGAGCAGCGAGAACCGGAGGAAACGGACGCGGCAUGGACAAAACGUCGGAGGAUAGGAGUAGCGCCCGCGAUGCCGAUUCCUUCGACGGGAAGCAAGCUACGGAGCAGGGGAGCGGAGUCGGAGAAAGGGGAAAGAGUCGGAGAAAGAAAAAGGGAGUGAGAGAGGGAGAGAGAGAGAGAGAGAGAGAGAGAGAGUGAAAGAGAGAAAAAGAGACGGUGGCGGCUCUGGUGGAGGAAGAUCGAUGUGGAGGAAAAACCGGAUCUCCCAGCGUUGAGCCCAUCGCGAGGGAUGUGACGGAACGCGGAGGCCCUCCACGGCGGCGAAAGAGGGACAGAAAGGGGGAGAGAGAGGGAAAGACUUCGCCAUGUUUGACCGCCCUGAUGACCAUCGCCAUCGAAUGGAAGCCGGCCAUUCAUCUGGACAAUCGCUACCGGCUGAUGAGGCACGAGCCGAUGCUCGACGCGGACGGCAAAGAGACCGACGUGAUCGGGACGGACUGCUAGUCGAGGUAUCGCGCGAUUCGCCGUCGCCGGGGGAAUCACCGAAUGACCGACCGCGGGAUUGUUAAAUGCGCAAUUACACGCGUAUAUACCGUGGACGGAUCCUUGCCGAUACUCGACGUACUCUCGCUGUCCGAGCCGACGAUUCGCCGAUUUCCGCAUUUCGGCUCAUUAUCUGCAUUUACGCGGCAUUUAUCGCUUCUUCUCGGUAAAAUCGUGUUUGGUCAGUGUAGCAUUUCCACUUAUUUCCGACGCUCAACUUCUAUAAUUUAAUAGAAAUUGCUCCGCAAUAUUCUGCGAAUGGAAACUUUUGGGAAAUAAACUGAUUUUUCAAAACGUUUGUGUGAA